UACGAAGGGGGCUAGCGUUGCUCGGAAUCACUGGGCGUAAAGCGCACGUAGGCGGAUUGCUAAGUCAGGGGUGAAAUCCUGGAGCUCAACUCCAGAACUGCCUUUGAUACUGAGGAUCUUGAGUGCGGGAGAGGUGAGUGGAACUGCGAGUGUAGAGGUGAAAUUCGUAGAUAUUCGCAAGAACACCAGUGGCGAAGGCGGCUCACUGGCCCGAUACUGACGCUGAUGUGCGAAAGCGUGGGGAGCAAACAGG
rnacentral:rRNA from 1 species